AACGAACGCUGGCGGCAUGCCUAACACAUGCAAGUCGAACGAGACCUUCGGGUCUAGUGGCGCACGGGUGCGUAACGCGUGGGAACCUGCCCUUAGGUUCGGAAUAACUCCCCGAAAGGGGUGCUAAUACCGGAUAAUGUCUUCGGACCAAAGAUUUAUCGCCUUUGGAUGGGCCCGCGUUGGAUUAGCUAGUUGGUAGGGUAAAAGCCUACCAAGGCGACGAUCCAUAGCUGGUCUGAGAGGAUGAUCAGCCACACUGGGACUGAGACACGGCCCAGACUCCGACGGGGGGCAGCAGUGGGGAAUAUUGGACAAGGGGCGAAAGCCUGAUCCAGCAAUGCCGCGUGAGUGAUGAAGGCCUUAGGGUUGUAAAGCUCUUUUACCCGGGAUGAUAAUGACAGUACCGGGAGAAUAAGCUCCGGCUAACUCCGUG
rnacentral:rRNA from 1 species